rnacentral:rRNA from 1 species
CGAACGCUGGCGGCGUGCUUAACACAUGCAAGUCGAACGGUGAAGCGCCUUCCUUUUUGGUGGGUGUGGAUGAGUGGCGAACGGGUGAGUAACACGUGAGUAACCUGCCCCCUUCUUCUGGAUAACCGCAUGAAAGUGUGGCUAAUACGGGAUAUUCUGGGUCUGUCGCAUGAUGGGUCUGGGAAAGAUAUUGUUUCGGUGGGGGAUGGGCUCGCGGCCUAUCAGCUUGUUGGUGGGGUGAUGGCCUACCAAGGCGGUGACGGGUAGCCGGCCUGAGAGGGUGGACGGUCACACUGGGACUGAGACACGGACCAGACUCCUACGGGAGGCAGCAGUGGGGAAUAUUGCACAAUGGGCGCAAGCCUGAUGCAGCGACGCCGCGUGAGGGAUGGAGGCCUUCGGGUUGUGAACCCCUUUCGCCAGUGAAGCAGGCCUGCCUCGUUUGUGGGUGGGUUGACGGUAGCUGGAUAAGAAGCGCCGGCUAACUACGUG